UCUCCUUGGGCUGUCUACAAACAUACAGAAAUAGCUGUAUUUAAUGGCACUUUCUAAAACAUUAUUAUGCCUAUUAUAGUGUUCAGAAUUCUUGGAGUCUAAUGUGUUAGCAGCCUAGGUUUUAAAAACUUCAGAUAGGUGUCAAUCUUUUAAGAUUUAAUGUGCUUAAUGCUCCCACCCCAGAGAAGUAGGUGCAGGUCCAUUUAAAGAUCACAUAACUAGAAUAUCUGCAGGAAUCCCAUGAGACAACACACAGGAAAGUGUGUAGUAGAACAGCAGUGGAUAACUUGGUAUAAAUACUACUAUUACUGUUACUGCCUAUAUAAAAAUAUAAUCAUCCAGAUGAACUGUGCUUGUGAUAGUAACUGUAGAAAGGCAGAAAAUGAAUAUGGCAAAGGUAAACAAGUGUCUGUUGGGGUUCCCAGGGCUGGGUACAGAGGCCGGGCCUUCCCUAUGCUGGCCUGGUGCUCUACUACUGAGCUGUGUCCCACAUUCGUCAAAUAAUAAAAGCAUUUUUCUUCGUUGGUUUGUUUGUUGAGGGGACCACGUCUACUCAUGGAACUGGCUCCAGAGGCCCUAAUUGGACUUUACAAAGUGAGAAUGUAAUCAGGAACCCUCAGUUAUCUAAAAACUCUUUGAUCUCCUAAAUAUAAAACUCAGUAGCUAAUUUUAAAAGUAUAUGCAUGAAACCAGUUAGGCCUGAGAGAUGAGGAAUCUUCUCCAGGGAAGUACAGGACUGCUUGCUCCGAUCUUUCUGGUUAUUAACCACAACCGAGCCAUUCACUAAUAAUCCAGGAAGCACAGAACGAAGACAUAACCACUACGAGGAGGUAAAACCAGUGUUCAGCACCAGCUUGCUUCCCACUGCAGGGUGUGUGCCCUCUGUUCUUCUGUUCUAAGCCUGAGCUGCUGCACAAACAAGGCUAUCUGAGGAAGCAGACCGAGAGAUUCUCCAUUUGGAUGGUCUGAGAUUUCACCAAGCAUUUUGAACUUGCAGGAGCCAGUGUUGCCAGACACUUCCCACAAAUUCCUUAUCUUCAGCUCUUCCCAUGAAGAUUUCCCUUUAACAAAAAUGCUUUUCCUAAUGGUUGGGCAUUAAGUGAAAGUUUUUCUUCUACAGACAUCAAGAUUAAGAAAAAAAUCUAACAAGCAGUGGCCUCAGUUGGGGAAUAUCAGUUAAAAUCCUCUUUUCCAAAGUUGAAGGCAGACCUAGGUCGAGAUGUCAAACGUCUGAGUCUUUUCAGAGUUCAGGGGGCAGUUCAAAAGAUCGGAGAAGCAGGCAAAGCACAAACCAACGAAAAGAUGGACGCAAAACUGCCACAACGGCGGUCGGUGCCGACACAACCAGAAGUCUUCUUAAAAUGGCCGGCAAACCAGUGAGACACUGACCAAGUGCCCACACUGCAGCCCCACACCCACUUAUUCACUGCAAAGUGCCAAUGCUGCCCCUACGUGUGCUGAUAUCCAGAGCUCGGCUCCUGGGGCGAUGCUGGGGUGACCUGGCUCACCUGCCGACCAAGAGGGCUCUGCGUGCCUGCUGUGAUUCUCGAGCCAUAGGUUUGCUACGACUGCCUUAGAGCCUGCACUCUGGGAUUCCGCAGGGGAAUUCUAGCUCUUGGCCUGCAGCUAGAGAAAACCAUGUCCUCGUGGCUGUCUGUGGCUGCCAGAACCCCAAACACUUGGUGAGCACGCAGAGGAGCCCUGUUGUGCUAUGAUGAUAGACAGGCACGGAAGUACAGUGUCACUGGCUUUGGGCUUAAACAUCUCCAAACACCUGCUCUCCAAGCACAGGAACCCGUGGUUUAAGUAACGUACGCUACGGAUCAGCGGUUUGCAAUGAUGGGCUGAUCGAAAGACUAUCACGCUCAGCGCUGCUAAGGUUAAUGGCGUUGCCUCUUACAGAGGAAAUGCAGAAGUGAGGGGAAGAAACCAAUGAAACACACCUCUAAUGGCACGCAGAGCAGAGCCCACUGAAAUGAAUGCCGACUAAUGAAAACAUCCCCAAAGAGAGUGAUUUUAGAGAAACCUUUUAUCUACAGGCCCUGUAUUUAUAGAGUAACCUUUUAAAUACAGGGUAAAAAAAGAAA